UACGAAGGGUGCAAGCGUUAAUCGGAAUUACUGGGCGUAAAGCGUGCGCAGGCGGUUCGUUGUGUCGGCGGUGAAAGCCCCGGGCUUAACCUGGGAAUGGCCGUCGAAACUGGCGAACUGGAGUGUGGCAGAGGGGGGUGGAAUUCCGCGUGUAGCAGUGAAAUGCGUAGAGAUCGGGAGGAACACCAGUGGCGAAGGCGGCUACCUGGACCAGCACUGACACUGAGGCACGAAAGCGUGGGGAGCAAACAGG
rnacentral:rRNA from 1 species